CACAUAACACAUAAGUAUAAUUUCUAGAUGCAAAACCCUAAUGAAAGCGAGUAAACACAUAAGUGCACAAGCAUGCAAGCACCCAAGCAAAUAAAUACAAAUAAGAGCCUAACUAUUACAUUCGGGCCCUAACUACAAUCUAAAGGGGGAAAUUCUAAAAAAAUAAUAAUAAUAUAACUAUUACAUUUAUCUAACUAGAUACAUUUUUAGCAAAAAUUAAAACCUAUGUAUUACAUAGGCUAGCUAAAUGCAUGUCUUGAGCACCUAUCUAUUACAACUUGGCAUUUUAAUGCCUCUCAAAUAAUCAUCAAAAUUAAAUAAAACAAAUGAAACAUAACAUGAACAAGAAUGACUAAUUAAAGAAAAAGCACUGAAAACAUACAAUUACACAUAAAAACACAUUGGAGCGCAUAAAGGAGUUUAAAAUAAUAAAAGAGGUUACCUCUCUUGAAGUGGUGAUUAGAUAGGGUGAAAUUUGCCCUACUUAUGCUCCAAAAUGAACAAAAUGAUCAAGACGCCAAUUUAAUUAUAAAGAAAUAGAAAUAAUCAUGAAAUCUACCAAUUAAAGCACUUAAAUGAAGCAUAAUUAACAAUUAAAGAAGAAAAGUAACUUAUAUUUAAGAAAUCAAAACUGCUUGGGACCUAAUUGCAAAAAUUAAGAAAGAUUUGGGGGUCAAUUUGUAAUUAUUAAAAUAUUUAGGGUCAAAUUGAAAGAAAAAUAAAGUUCAGGAACCUAUUUACAAUUAAAUGAGGGACCUAAUUGAAAGAAAUUAAACAUUUUAGGGCCGAAAUACAAAAUACUCAAAAUUGUAGGGACUAAUCUGCAAAUUCAUCUCUGGUCUUCCUAACCUAACAGGCCACUUGGGCCAUUUUUUUUUCUUUGGGCCAAAAGCCAUCAAGCCCGAAGAAAAGCCUCAAGAAUAAGGGUGGGCUGACCCAUCAUUUUUGCUAAGCAAAGUCCAUCAAAAGGCCAGGCUUUGACCUCCAAGUCCACACAAAAACCCCAUCAAAACAAAAGCACAACCCUCUUUUAAAACCCAAACAAAUCAAUCUUAAUCCAAUUUUACUAAAACCCAUCAAGGCAACAAAUCAAUUAAAAAUUAUUAAACCCUAAUUAUGCCUUAAAACCCAGAAAUAGUUCACCCAAAAACCUACUUAAAACAUGAAAAAGAUUAUUAAAACUUAAAAGAGCGAAAUAAGCUAGAUUUUUCCAAGUUUUGGGCCAUGGUGAAAUUAAACAAAAGUUGGGGUCAAAAAUGUAAAUUUUAAAAACUUGCAUGCAGCUUCUUUUUUUUUUUUCUCACAAAUGAUCAAGAACACACGCACACAGUUAGAUUAAACACUCAGAGAGUCAUCAAAGAACGGGCCAAACGGACAAUCUGAGGUGGGACCCACAAAGCAACCAGAUUUCACAAAGCAACCACAAAUCUAAGGUGGGACCCACAACCUUGCAUGCAGCUUCUUCAAAGAGCCUUCCUACAACUUCCUGGGUUUCACUAGCUACUCUUAUUCAAGCACAAGAAAAUCAGCCGCGAACUUAAACGAAGCCCAUGGAUUCAUCAACUAACAUAGG
rnacentral:lncRNA from 1 species